rnacentral:rRNA from 1 species
UGGGGAAUAUUGCACAAUGGGCGCAAGUCUGAUGCAGCCAUGCCGCGUGUAUGAAGAAGGCCUUCGGGUUGUAAAGUACUUUCAGCGGGGAGGAAGGUGUUGUGGUUAAUAACCACAGCAAUUGACGUUACCCGCAGAAGAAGCACCGGCUAACUCCGUGCCAGCAGCCGCGGUAAUACGGAGGGUGCAAGCGUUAAUCGGAAUUACUGGGCGUAAAGCGCACGCAGGCGGUCUGUCAAGUCGGAUGUGAAAUCCCCGGGCUCAACCUGGGAACUGCAUCCGAAACUGGCAGGCUUGAGUCUUGUAGAGGGGGGUAGAAUUCCAGGUGUAGCGGUGAAAUGCGUAGAGAUCUGGAGGAAUACCGGUGGCGAAGGCGGCCCCCUGGACAAAGACUGACGCUCAGGUGCGAAAGCGUGGGGAGCAAACA